rnacentral:tRNA from 1 species
GUCCCCAUAGCUCAAUGGAUAGAGCGCUAGCCUCCGGAGCUAGAAAUAGAGGUUCGAAUCCUCUUGGGGGCA